UAAGCUGAGCUUGAAAAUACCUUGGAAACCCAAGUGACUCUGCCAGGAAAAAGGACAAUUCAAGAUUCAUUAUAAGAACCAAUUCUAGGAAAAAUAAAUGAAGAAGUCAUCAAGUGCAGGAUAAACCGGAAGAAAAGAUGGCAGAAAAGAAGAAGAGGCUAUGUAAAGACCCAUUUCUACAAUCCAGACGUGAGACUUUGCAUUAAGAAUGGACAUAGGGAAGUAAAGGAGCCGAAGGUACUGGAAAGUGUGUGAAUGAGGCAACAUUUGAACCCCCAAUCUCAUUAGAUGUCACAGUGACUCCCUGCAUUUCAUAGCUGAGGACUCUUCUCUGCCACAAGCACUGAGUCUUGUAAAAGGCCCAGAAAUGGUGGAGAGCAUUUUACCAAUUCACCCGAGGCCACAGCAAGUGAUAUUCCUGGGAUCUGAAACCGCAUAUUUGAAAUCCAGAGUCCAAGCUUCUUUAAUCAGGUCGAGGAAGACAGAUCCAGCAAUGAAUUAAAUUCAGAAUAGUAGCUUUAUCAGUCAGGGCUCUCCAGAGAAAUAGAACCAACAGGAUAUAAAAGGAGAUUUAUUAUGAGGAAUUGGGUCAUGCAAUUAUGGAAACUGAGAAGUCCUAUGAUCUGCAAGCUGGAGACUCAGGAAAGCCAGUGGUGUGAUUCAGUUAGAGUCUGAAAGGCUGAGAAUCACGGGAUCAGUGAUGUAAAUCCCAGUCUGAGAGCAAGAGAAGGUGAGAUGAGAUGUCCCAGCUCAAGCAACGAGGCAGAUAAAAGGGGCAAAGGACUCCUUCCUCCGCCUUUUUGUUCUAUGCAGGCCCUUAAGAGAUUGGAUAAUGCCCAUCCAUGCUGGAGAGGACCAUCUACUCUACUGAGACAACCAGUUCAAAUGCUAAUCUCACCCAGGAACACCCUGUGCAGACACACCCCGCAAUAAUGUUUUAGGAGAAACCUGGGCAUCCCCUGAUGAAUUCAAGUUGAUACCAUAAAAUUAACUACCAUAGAUGCUAAGAGAAAAAAGAACUAGAGAGUUUGUUUUUCCUUAAGUGGCAGAAGACCUAAGGUGGGGGUGGGGGGUUAAAAAGAGAAUGAAAAUCAUGGAGUUGUAUGUUGAAACCCUUUAUUCAGUUAAUAUUGGGUAUCAAAGUACAACAAAAAGCAAGAUUGGAAGUAAGCAAGGAGAAAGUGUACCAGGGAAUCAGAAAAUCCUGUUCUGUUGUCUUGGACAAACGAGUCCAUGUCUGCAGUAAUCAGCUUUAUCAGAGAGACUGGGGAGGAUACUGUUUACCCUCAGCAGCUGUCUGUUUCUGGGCAAUUCCUGUGAACCCUCAGUUGAAGGCCUACCGAUGGAAUGGACAUGCAGUGGUCAAAGGAAAAUGGUGUAUGCCUUUAUAAUUAAGAACCAUGAAUCUAAGGAUCAUCUUGGCAUGUUGCUGCCUUGUCAGUUAUUAGCAGUACAUGAUAAUGUUCUUUCCAUCAUGGUUUAAGGGCAGAGUUUAUUCCCCGAAGAGCAACUUUCCAGGCUUCAGAUCCUGCAGAUGCUGCUUAGGUAGCUGUUCUGAUAAUGGAGCUUGCAUCUGUUGGUGAUAAAGCUAGAGACAUCAUAAGAGUGCCCUGUAGUAUCUAAUCACAUCAGUUUGUAGAAUCUGAGGUGGGAAAUGAAAUUCCCAAACACAUGGCAUGGCUCGUUAUUAGCUCGGGGAGAGAUGAUUUCUGGAUCCUAGAAGCAGUUGAUCUUGUUGCUAUCAAGUCCUUAGGUCACAUGGUCAUGGGCAAAACAUAAAUUCCAACUUACAUACAUAUUAUGUUAGGAUAGCAAACAAGAUACUUUGAAUCAUAAUAAUGUGUUAUCUUGAGAUAAAAUUUUUUGGAGUUAAAGAAAUAGAAACACAAGGUCAAGGAUUCAAGGCAUGAUGUAAAAUUUCUUUCUGUUAAAACAAUGUUAAGGGAUUAUUUGAAAGGGUAGAUAUCAAACUGCUGAGGUCUUUAGAUUCCUCUGGAUACAUUUAAAAGACUAAUACAAUAAAGUUAUUUUAAAAUAUCGA